GAUGAACGCUGGCGGCGUGCUUAACACAUGCAAGUCGAACGAUGAAGAAAAGAAUCGAAGCUUCGGCAGAAAUUCAUUUCGGAUUAGUGGCAGACGGGUGAGUAACGCGUGAGCAACCUACCUCUUACAAAGGGAUAGCCUCGGGAAACCGGGAUUAAUGCCAUAUAACAUUGCGACGAAGCAUUUCGAUGCAAUCAAAGCUACGGCGGUAAGAGAUGGGCUCGCGUCCCAUUAACCGGAUGGUGAGGUAACGGCUCACCAUAGUGACGAUGGGUAACCGGCCUGAGAGGGUGAACGGUCACACUGGAACUGAGACACGGUCCAGACUCCUACGGGAGGCAGCAGUGGGGAAUAUUGCACAAUGGAGGGAACUCUGAUGCAGCGACGCCGCGUGAGUGAUGAAGGAAUUCGUUUCGUAAAACUCUGUUCUAUGGGAAGAAAAGGACUGUACCAUAGGAGAAAGCUCCGGCUAAAUACGUG
rnacentral:rRNA from 1 species